CUUACUAGACGGAUUUUCCAGGGAAUAGAAGCCAUUAUAGAAGCCUUCACAGCAAUUUCCUUGCUUAGCAGGUCAGCUCUUUGGAAAGGCAAUGAAAGCCUUGUUCAAGGAGAGGGCUGAAAGCAUCACAAGGCUGACCUAUUUAUGUUAAGAUCCAACAACUGUAGAAAUCACACAGACUUCCAAAAAAAAUCCUGGCAGGGUUCUCACCCCUGAAACGGAGGAGAGAACUACAGCACUUUCCAGAGCCUGUGGCUAGGGCAGGGCUGACCCAGGGCAACCAGCUUCAGAGCAUUUUGCUCACUGCUGGCUAAAGGAGGGAACUGUUCCACCUUUGCAUGUCCCUUAGGAAAGAGGAGGGCUGGUUUAAUACUCAGGCAUUGCAACCUUGUGACCACAUCCCUUUGCUGGGUGAGAGGUGAUCUGCUCUGAAUUUAAACCAGUUCAGAGGUUUGAGAAUAAAGACAAAAAUACAUCACACGUGACUGGAAGUGUGUAUUUUUCAGAGGGACAUCUCUGGCUGACAAGGCUCACAAAGCACGGCAGGUCUUUGGGAUCAGGAGAGAAGUCAUGGAGGACGUAGUUGGUCUCCUUGCAGCCCCUUCCACAUGGCCAUGGGUAUCCCUCUGCUGGAUUCAGCACAGCGUCCAUUCAGUGUGUGGAUGAACCUCUGUUGUUACCAAGAACAGAAAACUUGAAAUCAUCCAGAACUCCUUAUGUUCACCACAACUGAAGCAACUGCAGACAGCAAUGCUGAACUGUCAAACCAGAUUAUAGAAAAAAGCAAAGAAGAUACGUCUCUUUGGUAA
rnacentral:lncRNA from 1 species